UACACGUAUUUUUCUCUUCUAUAAUUUUACCUUCCACAACAAUCACGCUCGCUGCAAAUCGGCGUCAAUUCGACCGGCCUGUAAUGGUCGAACAAUCCGGAAGAACAAUAUCGAUAAUCGUAUAAUUGGCCUACGUUACAAUUAUAUUUAAUCGUCGCAUGGUCAAACGUAACGUAACGCGCGGCGGCGGAAUAUCAGAGAGCGCUUGCGCGAACGAGCAACAAAACGUUGUUUCUCUCCGUCCCGUUGAAGUCGUCCGCGUAAAAUGGUCAAAAAGCGUUACAUAAGCUUUCGUAACGCCGAGUUGUUUGCAACUGGAAAAAAAGAAGAAAGAGAAAAAGAGAGAGAGAGAGAAAAAAGAUACUGGACACGUUCGCGGCCCAACUGCAUAUAAUUAUUCGAAUGACAGCGAAUUUUCAUUGCAGUCGUGCAAUUAGCGUCGGGGAACGCUUAUUCCGUACGAUUUCAACCUUGCGUUUAUGCAUGCUUGAAUUUACCGAGUAAAAAUGGGAAAUACGCAACCACGCUAUUUUCUUCCACUUCUCCUUUCUCAUUAUUGUAUCUCGCGUAAUUCGCAGGGAUAAAUUAUUUUGCAAUUGAAGGGAUAACAUUCUUGAAACAAAUAAAUCGAUAACGAAGUUUGGAAAAUUUUUACGAAAUUAUUUUCGAAUUACAAAGAGUAUUAUGAUCUUUUUUUUUGACGCUAUUUUCCUUUCAUAAUCCUAUCUCGAUAAUUGCAGUUAUCUACCAUUACCGACAGUUAAUCGCGAGGUUGGAUGUGAAAAUAUUUCUAAUAAAAAGAAAAUAAGGUUUCAAGUAAGAGAGAGAGAGAGAUGAAAGAAAAUUUUCAGCAAUUCCAUUCGGCGAGGAUAAAAAAAAUAUUCUUCCUGUGAAAGAAGGAAGGAGGGAGGGGGGGAAAAGGAAUAGAAGUUAUCAAAGUUCGAAGUGGAUUUCCAUUUAUUAAAAAGCUUCUUUGUGCCACGAUGUGAACAAGAAAGCGUGACGAGUGGGAAUACGACCGUUUUAAUUAAAUUUUUAAUUGCCACAGUUCGAACUACUACAACGCAUUACGAUUAUUUCGCAGCUUCACUUCUAUUAAUUACGGCCGGCCAUCUCUUCCGAUACUUAAGUGCAACGCCCUUUUGCCCACGUUUACAUUUAUCGAAAUCCAAGCCAACACUUUUUUUUUUUUUUUUUAAAUGAAACAAAACGCUUAAAAUAGAGAGAAAGAGAGUAUCGAAUUAUCACAGUAUUAAGAAAGAAGGAUUGGAUUGUUGAUAAUAUAAUAUUGUAUUAAACGGAUAAGUCCAUUUGUCUAUUACUAAUGGAUGAAUCGUGUAAAAGAGUACGCAAGACAUUUAAAGACGUCCACAUAUAACGUAGGCGCUUGUUUCCAUUCAAUUUUAAUUAAUACCAACGUAAAUUUAUUUACCGACUCUCUUUUACAAGCCAACUCGAAUUCUUACAUCCUUUACAUAAAAUCUACACAUUCUUUGCUCGCCAUACCUCCACUCGAUACACACACACACAUACUCGUCCCUAACUACAUUCUAUACUACAUUACCGUUCAAAGGUUAGGAAUUACCUAGUUUAACUAUUUGAUUAGCAAAAAAAAAAUAAAAAUUUGUUCGAUUAUUUUAUUAUCCCGCUCUAGGAAACUUUCUCAUCUCAUCCUAUUUUUCCUCCUCCUAAUAAUAAUAAUAAUAAUCGUAUUACAAGACUAUCAAUUAUUCGAUAAAAUUAUAUUAUUUAUCUUUCAAUUUUCUUAUCGCAAGAAAAAUUCCAACUCGGAAAUAACCUCGAAUAAUCGCUCUCGAAACUCGAUUCGGUUUUGAACAGCGGUGUACAAUGGUGUAGAAAUACUGGUAGGGGGGAGCCUCGGGACAUAAUAGACGAUAAAUCUCGAGACGAAAACACAGGGACGAGCGCUGUAUCAAGGAAUCGCGACACGUAGCAGAUUCUCGAAAGAUAUUUCAUUAGCCGGGAACGGGACAUUCCCGGGACCGAUGGACAAUGAACGGGCGAACGUAAGGGGCUGCUGCCUGGUAUUUCUUCAACGCGGCACAACAGGACGCACAAUACCAGUCGUAGAAUAACGAGGCGACAUUGCGCUGGCUGCAGUUUACCGGGUUGGAUUAAACAAACGCAAAGUAUACUUCCACUGUACUGAAACUGACAAUCCGAAUCCGGCUAAGUCGGUAAAGAAGAGCGGGCAAGAAAGAGAAAGAAAAAAAAA
rnacentral:lncRNA from 1 species